CUCAGAUGCGCAGAGACUGUAAUGAAGAGCUCUUGAACUCACAGUCAGAGAAGCUGUGACAGGAGUUCAGGAGGAUGCCUCUUUGGCUCUGCUGGACGUACAACACACACACACCGAUUGUGGAGAGAGAUGGGACGGAAGAGAGCGGAUGACAUGCAGCAAAGGGCCGGAGUUGGAAUCGAACCUGCAGCCACUGCGGCAAGGACAUGGCCUUUGCACAUGGGGCACCUGCUCUAUCAGAGGGACCUCCACAGUGGAUGAAAUUUAGCCCCGACCUCUGACCUUUGGGUUCAGCGUUUGUCUCCAGUCCAGUGACCACAAACAACUCCUGGAUUGCUGUAAAUGUCAGUGCAGCGGCGUCUCCGCCCUCUCCCCUGUGAACCAUAGGGCUGCACUCAACCUGCACUAAUAGGACACUUUCAUGAGAGCUCCAUUAUCAGUUAGGCUGUAUUUGAUAUCUCAGGUUUCCUGCUUAUGAUGCCACGACAAAACUGAACGACUGUCAUCAAACAAACGGCAA